rnacentral:rRNA from 1 species
AUUGAACGCUGGCGGAAUGCUUUACACAUGCAAGUCGAACGGCAGCACGGGGGCUUGCUCCUGGUGGCGAGUGGCGAACGGGUGAGUAACGCGUCGGAACGUACCGAGUAAUGGGGGAUAACGCAGCGAAAGCUGUGCUAAUACCGCAUACGCCCUGAGGGGGAAAGUGGGGGAUCGCAAGACCUCACGUUAUUCGAGCGGCCGACGUCUGAUUAGCUUGUUGGUGAGGUAAUGGCUCACCAAGGCGACGAUCAGUAGCGGGUCUGAGAGGAUGAUCCGUCACACUGGAACUGAGACACGGUCCAGACUCCUACGGGAGGCAGCAGUGGGGAAUUUUGGACAAUGGGGGUAACCCUGAUCCAGCCAUUCCGCGUGAGUGAAGAAGGCCUUCGGGUUGUAAAGCUCUUUCAGCCGGAACGAAACGGUACGCCUUAAUACGGUGUGCUAAUGACGGUACCGGCAGAAGAAGCACCGGCUAACUACGUGCCAGCAGCCGCGGUAAUACGUAGGGUGCGAGCGUUAAUCGGAAUUACUGGGCGUAAAGCGUGCGCAGGCGGAUUGUUAAGCAAGAUGUGAAAUCCCCGGGCUUAACCUGGGAAUGGCAUUUUGAACUGGCAGUCUAGAGUGUGUCAGAGGGGGGUGGAAUUCCACGUGUAGCAGUGAAAUGCGUAGAUAUGUGGAGGAACACCAAUGGCGAAGGCAGCCCCCUGGGAUAACACUGACGCUCAUGUACGAAAGCGUGGGUAGCAAACAGGAUUAGAUACCCUGGUAGUCCACGCCCUAAACGAUGUCAACUGGUUGUUGGGGGAGUGAAAUCCCUUAGUAACGAAGCUAACGCGUGAAGUUGACCGCCUGGGGAGUACGGUCGCAAGAUUA